rnacentral:lncRNA from 1 species
AAAAUAUACACAUAUACGCACAAUACACACAAACACGCACAUCAGAUCUCUCUCUCUUCUCUUCUCUCCAUUUUCUCUCAAAACCGAACUGUCGCAAAUCGCCUUGGCCGGCGAGCUUUUGUCAGUGACCACCUCCUCUUUGUUCUCUCCCCUUUUUCCCGUCACCAGAGUCAGUCGCGACCACCUUCUCCCCUUUCACCGUCAGCAAAUCCAUCCAGCAAUACUGCUGCUAUCGACCACCGUCUCCCCCCAACGAGCGACCACCCCAACAACAAUCACAAAACAGAUCUGGCCGAAACGAUCUCGCUUAAAAGUUGAACUCCGGUGACCCUUUCUUUUCUUUUCAUAUGUUUGUCAGUUUUAUAUGUUUUUCCAUUUUUCAAGUAUGCUCCCUUUGUUUUUUAUUUUUAACAAUUUGUUUACCUUCCUGUACUGAUUUUGUAUUAGUUUUGUUUGAAAUUUUGCUUUGCCAAGAUGUGAACAUCUCCGAUGAACUAUCUUAAAUUAUUAGUUAAUCUUUGUUGUAUUUUGGUAUCUUGCUUUUAUUUAGUACACCAAUUACUGCCAUGUUGAUAUUGUAAGUUGUUUAUCUAUAUGUUUAUUUUUUUAAUUAUUUUUUCUUUUCUUUUAUUGAAAAAGGUGCAUAAAUCAAUUUAAUUUGUUAAAGUCCUCUGUGUGAUUGUUUAUGCUUCUAUUAAUGAUUGUGAAUAUUUUUCAUUAAUAUACUCUCUCACCAUUCAUAUUUUUUCAUUGUUUCAUCAACUUGUGAAUUUAUUAUUGCUAUUAAUUUUUUACACUUUUGACAUUUUUUUUAAAAAUUAUUUAAUUUAUUUCAGUGAUCUAUUUUAAUGUUGAAAAGCCUUUAAUAAGUGUUUGUUUUUAUUUUGCAAUAGUAUUGUUAGGAGGUAUUCAGAGUUAUAACUAAUUGAUAGUUUAAUUGGCAAAUGAAGAAAUUUUUCAUUGAUUUUUGAAACCUUUGCAAAUAAAAAGACGGAUAUUACGUAUAUAAAUAUGUAAUAAAAUAAAUACAUUCGGGCGAUGAUGAAAUUUUUAUAAUAUUUAAAAGUUUAUCCGAACCCAUUUUUUAAUAAAAAAUAUUUUUUAUAUACACAUAUGUACACAUAUUUCUUAAUUUGUUUUGAUUUUCUCCUAACAUUUUUUAUCACAAGUGUUUGUACAGGUUCUCGGGAAUACCGUCAAAAAAGGGUACCAAAAAAGAAGAGUUCGAGUUUUAUGUUUAUAUUUUAUAUUUUAUAACUGUACAAAUAUUAUCAUAGUGAAAACUUUACUUUUGGGGCGUUGGGUGGGAUAUUCUUUAUUUACACAAUUCUUAUCACGCGUUUAGGAAAAUUUAAGCCGUUAAUAUUCAAAGUAAAUUGAUUUAGAUUAUUUAAUGAAAUAAUUCACACUUUUUACACCUAAAAUAUUAUGUAAUUUUUUUUCUUUAAAAUAAUUUUUUCUUUAUUCAAAUCUUGUCUUUCUUAUCAUUUAUAUUGUUAUAUACUUUUUUUCACAUAUCUUCAUGUACCUGUACAUAUACAUUUUGUGAUAAUAUACGUAUUAUAUUAUUCCAAUACAUAUUUUAUAUCUGUAUUUAUAAUCAUUGAUUUUUUCUUUUUCUCUUUUGAUAAAUCUAAGUUUGGCCGGGAACCACAUUUGUGGAUUCUAAAGGGUGCCUAAUUCUUUUUCUCCGUAAUAAUUUGAACCUUUACCUAAAAUUUAAAUUGGUUCGCAUAUUGAAAUAAAAAUCAUACUUGUUAAUAAAUAAUUGUGUUUCUUUUUUUUUUCUUAAAAAUUAGGUAGUGACUCUGUAUAAAAUUAAUUUUUUUUAGAGUCCAUAAUAUCGUGCUUGUUUUAACCUAGGUAAAAAUAGGGUAUGACAGUUUGGCGAUUCUGCUGGGGAAUCAAGGCUCUAACUAUAACAGACUUAGGUAAAUAUUUAUGUUUUUAUAUUUAUUUGUUUCAUAUUAAUCGUCUUGAUUCAUUUUGUUAUGUGACAUAAAUUAUUUAUUUGUUAUUAUUUUGUAUAGAUUAUUUAUUUAUUUAUCACUUUAUUAAAUUGACAUUCCGUUCAUAUUUCUUCCAUUUCGAAAAAUUGACACUCACACAUAUUGUACACACGGAUUAUACAUUGUACUUUUUUCAAAUUCUUUCUUAUCACCUUACUUUAGAGAGUCGACGCAUACGUGGAGUGAGCGGCAAUUUUACUGCUGUGGGACUAUGUGCCUUCUCAUAUAGGAAAUUCAAGUCAGUGUUUACCCAUUCUUAGUAAGCAUAAAAUAGAGCUAAAUAACACCUUUUUAGGUACAUGCAUCAUUAGUCAACUUUAUUCAAAUGUCCGAAGGGUUCUUGACCCAAGUGACACAUUCAUAGCUCUGUACAUAUUUGAAGAAUGAUCGUGCUUAUAUGUUAUCUUCUUGCUUUAAAUUGGUUAAUUUAGUAUAAAUGUGUAAUCUAACCUUUGUUUUGAUGGGAGAAUUAGUUAAAAGAUACACUUUAGCAACAUAGUCAAUAGCUGUGCAUAGGUUUGAACUACAUUUUGACCUGAUUCUUGUCCUGACAAGAUACGUAGGCAACCCUGCAUUAGAGUUUGAUCUCUUCACUGGUUUAGAAUAAUUUCUCCGAAAUUAAACUGGGGCAAUUUUAUGAAAUAGCUCUUAGACGCUCUCUAUUGGUCUUUAAGAGCGCAAAGUGGUAGCUCUUCAAAUCCAAUUCCCGAUCGCAUUAGUGACUAGCCAGCCUAUCUCUAAAUCCUCACACUAUUUUUGAUUUGAAAAUACCUAGCUUCUUCUUUCGAACAUCGUAAAUUAUUAAAUUUAUGGCGUAUCGAUCCCCAUUCUUAUAAGUAAGGGUUCAACAUUUUUUCAAUCAUAACAAUCCUGCCAAUUGUGGUAAAAUAAUGUCAUAACUUUUUCAAUUCUAAUCUUUUCAAUCUUGUUUUGACAUUCAUCCUCUCGGUCGUCUGAUCGAAAUAAUUUUGAUGCUAAAAGCAGUUCCUUCCUGAUGUCUUCACAAAUGACCAUCAUUUUUCUUAUUAUGCAUUGCAAAUAAAAAUUCAUAAAUUUGUCUGAACUACGCAGACCCGAUUCUUGUUUUUACAAGAUAUGUAGGCAACCCUUAUUUGGGUUUGAUUUUUUUUUUUUAAAAAUAAAAUAAUAAAAUUUUGACUUGGUUGAUACCAAUACAGUUAGGAGUGUGCAUUAGAAAGAACUAAUUGGUAUGAUGAAAACGAUCUACUUCAUGAUAAACCAUAGAUACUUUUGGUACCUUUUAUCAUACCUAAGCAACACUUGAAGAAUUCUCUUGCUUACAUCUAAGACAAGAACAAAGCCAACCUCAUCAUUUCAUGUGCAUUGUGUGGCAAACUUCAGUUUAAUUCAUUGCAUUGCAUUGUUGAUCUAAAACUUGACUUAAAUCUCUGUUGAGGCAAAAUUCUGAGUUAUACUUGGUUUAGAAAAGGAUCGUAGGCCUUCUUUGACCCGAUUGAGCCUUUCAUAGCCUACCAAAUGACAUUAAUCCCUAAAAUUUCUUUUUUUGAUCCUAAAAUCUUUUCUUUGGACAACCGCAUUUAAGCCUAUACAUUUUCGAGUGCUUAUAUGCGCUGUCCCUCUCUUGGCCCAACCUCCUUGAGCGCACUUAAUAUGUAUAAAAUGAGAAUGAAGAUUCAAGAUAAAAGAAGCAAACUGCAAAGAAUAUAUUAUCCCAGAUGAACAAAAAUGAAAAAAAUGAAUUCAAAAGGAGCAAAAUCCCCAAAAAGAGAGAGAAAAGAAAAAAAGAAAAAAUAUAUAGUUUCUUGAAAAACAAGGGAAAAAACUCUAACACAAGAUUCAAAAUAAGUCGAAGCAAAUACAAAACAAGGGACAACGCA